rnacentral:rRNA from 1 species
GAACGCUGGCGGCGUGCCUAAUACAUGCAAGUCGAACGGUCUUUCUAUGGAAGCUUGCUUCCACUGAGAGGAUAGUGGCGAACGGGUGAGGUAACACGUGGGUAACCUGCCCAUAAGAGGGGGGAUAACAUCCGGAAACGGGUGCCUAAUACCGCAUAGUUUUCUUGAUCGCAUGAUCGGGAAAGGAAAGACGGCCUUUGUGCUGUCGCUUAUGGAUGGACCCGCGGCGUAUUAGUUAGUUGGUGAGGUAACGGCUCACCAAGACGAUGAUACGUAGCCGACCUGAGAGGGUGAUCGGCCACAUUGGGACUGAGACACGGCCCAAACUCCUACGGGAGGCAGCAGUAGGGAAUCUUCCGCAAUGGACGAAAGUCUGACGGAGCGAACGCCGCGUGAGUGAAGAAAGGUUUUCGGAUCGUAAAACUCUGUUGUCAGAGAAGAACAAGUUGGAGAGUAACUGCUCCAGCCUUGACGGUAUCUGACCAGAAAGCCCACGGCUAACUACGUGCCAGCCGCAGC